AACGAACGCUGGCGGCAGGCUUAACACAUGCAAGUCGAGCGCCCCGCAAGGGGCGCGGCGGUCGGGUGAGUAACGCGUGGGAACGUACCUUUUGGUUAGGAACACCUCCGGGAAACUGGAGCUACUACCGGAAAAGCCCGAACGGGGAAAAAUUAAUCGCCGUAAGCUCGGCCAGCGUCUGAUUAGCUCGUUGGUGGGGUCACGGCUCACCAAGGCGACGAUCAGUAGCUGGUCAGAGAGGAUGAUCAGCCACACUGGGACUGAGACACGGCCCAGACUCCUACGGGAGGCAGCAGUGGGGAAUAUUGGACAAUGGGCGCAAGCCUGAUCCAGCCAUGCCGCGUGAGUGAUGAAGGCCUUAGGGUUGUAAAGCUCUUUUGUCUGGGAAGAUAAUGACUGUACCGGAAGAAUAAGCCCCGGCUAACUUCGUG
rnacentral:rRNA from 1 species